rnacentral:rRNA from 1 species
AGUGAACGCUGGCGGCAGGCCUAACACAUGCAAGUCGAGCGGCAGCGCGGGGGCAACCCUGGCGGCGAGCGGCGGACGGGUGAGGAAUUCGUCGGAAUCUGCCUCUUUGUGGGGGAUAACGUAGGGAAACUUACGCUAAUACCGCAUACGUCCUACGGGAGAAAGUGGGGGACCGCAAGGCCUCACGCAGAAAGAUGAGCCGACGACCGAUUAGCUAGUUGGUGGGGUAAAGGCCCACCAAGGCGACGAUCGGUAGCUGGUCUGAGAGGAUGAUCAGCCACACUGGGACUGAGACACGGCCCAGACUCCUACGGGAGGCAGCAGUGGGGAAUAUUGGACAAUGGGCGCAAGCCUGAUCCAGCCAUGCCGCGUGUGUGAAGAAGGCCUUCGGGUUGUAAAGCACUUUUGUCCGGAAAGAAAUCCCUGGAGCUAAUACCUUCGGGGGAUGACGGUACCGGAAGAAUAAGCACCGGCUAACUUCGUG